GGGUUGUGAGGUUAAGCGACUAAGCGUACACGGUGGAUGCCCUGGCAGUCAGAGGCGAUGAAGGACGUGCUAAUCUGCGAUAAGCGUCGGUAAGGUGAUAUGAACCGUUAUAACCGGCGAUUUCCGAAUGGGGAAACCCAGUGUGUUUCGACACACUAUCAUUAACUGAAUCCAUAGGUUAAUGAGGCGAACCGGGGGAACUGAAACAUCUAAGUACCCCGAGGAAAAGAAAUCAACCGAGAUUCCCCCAGUAGCGGCGAGCGAACGGGGAGCAGCCCAGAGCCUGAAUCAGUGUGUGUGUUAGUGGAAGCGUCUGGAAAGGCGCGCGAUACAGGGUGACAGCCCCGUACACAAAAAUGCACAUACUGUGAGCUCGAUGAGUAGGGCGGGACACGUGGUAUCCUGUCUGAAUAUGGGGGGACCAUCCUCCAAGGCUAAAUACUCCUGACUGACCGAUAGUGAACCAGUACCGUGAGGGAAAGGCGAAAAGAACCCCGGCGAGGGGAGUGAAAAAGAACCUGAAACCGUGUACGUACAAGCAGUGGGAGCACGCUUCGGCGUGUGACUGCGUACCUUUUGUAUAAUGGGUCAGCGACUUAUAUUCUGUAGCAAGGUUAACCGAAUAGGGGAGCCGAAGGGAAACCGAGUCUUAACUGGGCGUUAAGUUGCAGGGUAUAGACCCGAAACCCGGUGAUCUAGCCAUGGGCAGGUUGAAGGUUGGGUAACACUAACUGGAGGACCGAACCGACUAAUGUUGAAAAAUUAGCGGAUGACUUGUGGCUGGGGGUGAAAGGCCAAUCAAACCGGGAGAUAGCUGGUUCUCCCCGAAAGCUAUUUAGGUAGCGCCUCGUGAAUUCAUCUCCGGGGGUAGAGCACUGUUUCGGCAAGGGGGUCAUCCCGACUUACCAACCCGAUGCAAACUGCGAAUACCGGAGAAUGUUAUCACGGGAGACACACGGCGGGUGCUAACGUCCGUCGUGAAGAGGGAAACAACCCAGACCGCCAGCUAAGGUCCCAAAGUCAUGGUUAAGUGGGAAACGAUGUGGGAAGGCCCAGACAGCCAGGAUGUUGGCUUAGAAGCAGCCAUCAUUUAAAGAAAGCGUAAUAGCUCACUGGUCGAGUCGGCCUGCGCGGAAGAUGUAACGGGGCUAAACCAUGCACCGAAGCUGCGGCAGCGACACUAUGUGUUGUUGGGUAGG
rnacentral:rRNA from 1 species